rnacentral:lncRNA from 13 species
UCUCUCUGAGAGAUUGAUUGGCUUUGAUGGUGUUGUGCUGCCCUCUCUGUAAGAAAAAAAGUAGUUCAAGUUGACUCGUGUGUGUGUGUGCCCGCGCGUCUUGUCUUUACAAUACAUUAUCUGCCUCUUUGUGACGUUGGUGUGUAGGCUGUGGUCCUCUUCUGUAGUGGAGGUGCAGAAGCAGGCGUCCCGCUGUAACGAUGACGUGACUGCCUCCGAGAGAGUCCAGGAGCUCACCUCUGAGCUGUUCUUCAUCAGGGUACCAACAAGACGCUGCUUAAUGUUCCCACUAGAGCAUGGGUACUCAACUCUUACCCUACAAGGAAAGACUCUCAAGAACAUGAUGGUGUCCUCCGUUUUGCUCUACGACCCCCACAAGUGUUACCUUCACCUCUGAAGGUAAGCAGUACUGGUUUUUUUAAAGGUAUGGAAGUCAAAUCAAAUCCAAAUCAAAUGUUAUUAGUCACAUGCACCGAAUACAACAGGUGUAGUAGACCUUACACUGAAAUGCUGAAUACAACAGGUGUAGUAGACCUUACACUGAAAUGCUGAAUACAACAGGUGUAGUAGACCUUACACUGAAAUGCUGAAUACAACAGGUGUAGUAGACCUUACACUGAAAUGCUGAAUACAACAGGUGUAGUAAACCUUACACUGAAAUGCUGAAUACAACAGGUGUAGUAGACCUUACACUGAAAUGCUGAAUACAACAGGUGUAGUAGACCUUACACUGAAAUGCUGAAUACAACAGGUGUAGUAGACCUUACACUGAAAUGCUGAAUACAACAGGUGUAGUAGACCUUACACUGAAAUGCUGAAUACAACAGGUGUAGUAGACCUUACACUGAAAUGCUGACUACAACAGGUGUAGUAGACCUUACAGUGAAAUGCUGAAUACAACAGGUGUAGUAAACCUUACAGUGAAAUGCUGACUACAACAGGUGUAGUAGACCUUACACUGAAAUGCUGACUACAACAGGUGUAGUAGACCUUACACUGAAAUGCUGAAUACAACAGGUGUAGUAGACCUUACACUGAAAUGCUGAAUACAACAGGUGUAGUAGACCUUACAGUGAAAUGCUGAAUACAACAGGUGUAGUAGACCUUACACUGAAAUGCUGAAUACAACAGGUGUAGUAGACCUUACACUGAAAUGCUUACUUACAAGCCCCUAACCAACAAUGGUGUUUAAAAAAUAAAUCAAAUAAGAAUAAGAAAUAAAAAUAACAAGUAGUUAAAGAGCAGCAGUAAAAUAACAAUAGCGAGACUAUAUACAGGGGGGGGUACCGGUUAGUUGAGGUAAUUGGGGUGAUAUGUACAUGUAGGUAGAGUUAUUAAAGUGACUAUGCAUAGAUGACAACAACAGAGUGUAGCAGCGGUGUAAAAGAGUGUGUGUGUGU